CAAAGGCACCGCCUCACAAAGGCCUUUUGUUCUUAGCUGUCGGGGGAGAGUUUCAGAAUGGGGAUGGAGUAAAGCUUUGAUAUGGAGCCCAGGCUGACACUCCAGGUCUGAGCUGCUGAGCUGCUGGGAAUUGACAAGUGGCCUCCCUGCAACAAGAAAGCAUAAGUUCUGAAAUUUCACUGCCAAGCUGUGGCUGCAUGGGCAUGGACAAAGUUCAAGUCAACUGCCUUGCAUUUGAGGGGGGCAAGCAGGCAUUAAGAUCUACAUUUUACCUCAAGAAAUGGAGGCGUUAGUGGCUAGGCCUAAGGUCACAACUACAGAAGCUGUUUGGCUAGAAUUUGCCGCCAGGUCUCUUUGUUUCAAUGACAUAGCUCUUUCCAUCAGACUAGAAGUCACCUUCAACAUCAUUCAGCAAGACUGCCAAGAAAGGUCACAUUUAAAUAUCCAAAACUAACACGCAUGGACUGAAGGGUCAAGAGUAUGUGUCUAGGGAUAGCCGGAAAAAUCAAAAUUUCACGACAAAUGCUAGAUAAAAUGAAAUGCUUCAGAACAGUGAAAAUUGAUUUUUAAGAGGCCAUAAAACAUACAAAUAAGUUUAUGGUUUAAACUAUAAGCAUCAUUGUUGGUGUCUGUUUUUUUUUUUUUUACUUCAUCUUUUUCUGCAAAAACAUACUAAACAUAAAACAACAACAACAACAACAACAGCCCAAGCCCCUCCUUAUAGAAGUCCACCAUGAAUGCAGAGCCCUUCCCAAUCCACCAGGGCCUCAGGCCAGCUUUUGGAGAUUACUUCUGGCAGCAGUUACAGGGCUUCUUCAACAGUGGGUGAUGGGGCAGGGUGGGGGCUCUCAUGUGCCUGUAGUGACUAGCAGGUGAAUGAAAACACAGAGGAGGCUGCCACAGACAAUCUCCCAAGGAGACCUCCCUGCAAGGCCCCCACCUCCACCGUCAUUGAGAAGAAAGCCCAACUUAUCAACACGGUGCUUUCCAAACUUUAGUACAUAGAAAACGCAAUGGGAAUGUUCCAGAAGCAGAUUCCUGGAAACUAUCUCCAAAUUCCCAGUUUGUAUGUCUAGAUUGAACCCUAAAAUCCUCCCUCUCUAAGCAGCUCCCAGCCAAUGCAGUGUUCUCACGUAGGGCUCACACUUUAAAGGGCAUAGGUUGAUACCCUCAUGCCCAGUC